UGGCCUGUGUAAAGUUGGCCACGUGCACA
rnacentral:piRNA from 1 species